rnacentral:tRNA from 1 species
GAUCUCCUGGCGCAGUGGUAGCGCACCAUAUGUACGAUGUACUUAGAUCGCCAUGCGAAAGGUAUGGGGAGCCAAGUACAAGUUAUGGAGACCCGUGUUCGAUUCACGGGUAGAUCA